rnacentral:rRNA from 1 species
GCUUAUCACCAUUCCAGAUUGAAUAUACCCGAUCUCGUCUGAUCUCGGAAGUCAAGCAAUCUCGGGCUUGGUUAGUACUUGGAUGGGUGACCGCUUGGGAACCCCAAGUGUGAUAAGCA